GGGGAUUUAGCUCAGUGGUAGAGUGCUUGCCUAGCAAGCACAAGACCCUGGGUUCAGUCCCCA
rnacentral:tRNA from 1 species